AACCCAUGGUGAGAGCACCUUUUGAAAAGGUCCUUGUAUCUCUCCCAUGCAUCGUUGAGUGUUUCUAAAUCCAUCUGCACAAAAGAAGAGAUACCAUUAGGUAAUUUGGUU
rfam:Gossypium hirsutum cultivar TM-1 chromosome 12, whole genome shotgun sequence